GUAGGUGGCAAGCGUUGUCCGGAAUUAUUGGGCGUAAAGCGCGCGCAGGCGGUUCUUUAAGUCUGAUGUGAAAGCCCACGGCUCAACCGUGGAGGGUCAUUGGAAACUGGAGAACUUGAGUACAGAAGAGGAAAGCGGAAUUCCACGUGUAGCGGUGAAAUGCGUAGAGAUGUGGAGGAACACCAGUGGCGAAGGCGGCUUUCUGGUCUGUAACUGACGCUGAGGCGCGAAAGCGUGGGGAGCAAACAGGGAUUAGAUACCCUGGUAGUCCACGCCGUAAACGAUGAGUGCAAGUGUUAGGGGGUUUUCCGCCCCCUUAGUGCUGCAGCUAACGCAUUAAGCACUCCGCCUGGGGAGUACGGCCGCAAGGCUG
rnacentral:rRNA from 1 species